GCUGUGGUCCAGAGCCAAGUGGCAGCAGAGCAAGGGGCAUCAGCUACUGCCAAGCCCAGAACCAUUUCCAUCCUGCAGAAGACGACCCACCACCCACAGCUUCUGCCAUCUCUCUCCUCUUUUUUCCUCAGCCACAGGCUCCCAGACAUGACAGCCAUCAUCAAAGAGAUCGUUAGCAGAAACAAAAGGAGAUAUCAAGAGGAUGGAUUCGACUUAGAAUUAACCUAUAUUUAUCCAAACAUUAUUGCUAUGGUAUUUCCUGCAGAAAGACUUGAAGGCGCAUACAGGAACAAUACUGAUGAUGUAGAAACGUUUCUGGAUUCAAAGCAUAAAAACCAUUACAAGAUAUACAAUCUUUGUGCUGAAAGACAUUAUGACACCGCCAAAUUUAAUGGCAGAGUUGCACAAUAUCCUUUUGAAGACCAUAACCCACCACAGCUAGAAGUUAUCAAACCUUUUGUGAAGAUCUUGACCAAUGGCUAAGUCAUGUUGCAGCAACUCACCAUAAAGCUGGAAAAGGACAAAUUGGUGUAAUGAUUCGUGCAUAUUUAUUACACAUAGGGGCAAAUUUUUCAAAGCACAAGAGGUCCUAGAUUUCUAAGGGGAAGUAAGGACCAGAGACUAAAAGGGAGUAACUAUUCCCAGUCAGAGGUGCUAUGUGUAUUAUUACAGCUACCUGUAAAAGAAUCAUCUGGAUUAGACCAGUGGCACUGUUGUUUCACAAGUGUUUGAAACUAUUCCAAUGUUCAGUGGCAGAACUUUCAAGCCUCAGUCUGUGGUCUGAUAGCUAAAGGUGAAGAUACAUUUCUCCAAUUCAGGACUCACACGAUGGGAAGACAAGUUCUUGUACUUUGAGUUCUCUCAGCCAUUACCUGUGUGUGGUGAUAUGAAAGUAGAGUUCUUCCACAAGCAGAACAAGAUGCUAAAAAAGGACAAAAUGUUUCACUUUGGGUUAUAUACAUUCUUCAUACCAGAACAGAGGAAACCUCAGAAAAAGUAGAAAAUGGAAAUCUACGUGAUCAAGAAGUUGAUAGCAUUUGCAGUAUAGAGCAUGCAGAUAAUGACAAGGAUUAUUAUUUUGUUAAAGUACUUACUUUAACAAAAACUGACCUUGACAAAGCAAAUAAAAAACAAAGCCAAUCAUGGAAGAGCUCCUGGCCCAGGCCCUGGCCUUGGACAAUGGUCAGAAAGCUCUUCCUUUAA